rnacentral:rRNA from 1 species
UUAGCCGGUGCUUCUUCUUCCGGUACCGUCAGUAGUCACGGGUAUUAACCGUAACCGUUUCGUUCCGGCUGAAAGAGCUUUACAACCCGAAGGCCUUCUUCACUCACGCGGCAUGGCUGGAUCAGGGUUUCCCCCAUUGUCCAAAAUUCCCCACUGCUGCCUCCCGUAGGAGUCUGGGCCGUGUCUCAGUCCCAGUGUGGCUGGUCGUCCUCUCAGACCAGCUACUGAUCGACGCCUUGGUAAGCCUUUACCUCACCAACUAGCUAAUCAGACAUCGGCCGCUCCAAAAGCGCAAGGUCUUGCGAUCCCCUGCUUUUCUC